GCCGCGUGUGUGAAGUAAGGCCUUCGGGUUGUAAAGCACUUUCAGGUAGGGAGGAAGGUUAGUGUAGUUAACACCUGCAUUUAUUUGACGUUACCUACAGAAGAAGCACCGGCUAACUCCGUGCCAGCAGCCGCGGUAAUACGGAGGGUGCGAGCGUUUAAUCGGAAUUACUGGGCGUAAAGCGCAUGCAGGCGGCCUGUUAAGUCAGAUGUGAAAGCCCGGGGCUUAACCUCGGAAUUGCAUUUGAAACUGGCAGGCUAGAGUCUUGUAGAGGGGGUAGAAUUUCAGGUGUAGCGGUGAAAUGCGUAGAGAUCUGAAGGAAUACCAGUGGCGAAGGCGGCCCCCUGGACAAAGACUGACGCUCAGAUGCGAAAGCGUGGGGAGCAAACAGGAUUAGAUACCCUGGUAG
rnacentral:rRNA from 1 species